rnacentral:rRNA from 1 species
CUGAAAUACAAACCAAACACGACCUCAAAGAGGGGAGACUACCCCCUGAAUUAAGCUAUCACACACCCGGAAGAAAAAAUAAUUGUGUUG